GUGUUGUAUGAAAGGAAGCAGGAUCAACACUUCUCUUGACAAGGAUGGAAGAGGCUCAGGUGUGCAACAGGCAUACAGCCAAGGCAGUCACCUACUUCACUGCAUCCACCCAAUAUUUCUU